rnacentral:rRNA from 1 species
GUAGGGAAUAUUGCACAAUGGGGGAAACCCUGAUGCAGCGACGCCGCGUGAGUGAUGAAGGCCUUCGGGUCGUAAAGCUCUGUCGUAUGGGACUAACAAAAUGAAGGUACCAUGCAAGAAAGGAUCGGCUAACUUCGUGCCAGCAGCCGCGGUAAGACGAGGGAUCCUAGCGUUGUUCGGAAUUAUUGGGCGUAAAGCGGGUGUAGGCGGGCCUGUCAGUCAGGUGUGAAAUCCCAGGGCUUAACCCUGGAAGUGCACUUGAUACUGCAGGUCUUGAGUGUGGUAGAGGCUAUUAGAAUUCUUGGUGUAGUGGUGAAAUACGUAGAUAUCAAGAGGAAUACCGGAGGCGAAGGCGGAUAGCUGGGCCAACACUGACGCUGAGACCCGAAAGCGUGGGGAUCAAACAGGAUUAGAAACCCCGGUAGUCC